rnacentral:rRNA from 1 species
CCUUUUCCCAUGUGGUCGAACUCGACAGCCGAACUGUCACUCUACUUCGCACAGCAAGCCGGUUCAAAAGCCAAGUCACGCAUUAGCUACGGUUCACCAGUUCAUACCACUACAACAGGAAUAACGUCCAAUAAGCGCCUGUUCAGCCGAAGCCAACCAUACCGCGAAUCAAACAUUCCUCCAUUAAUGUCAUAGCAGACAAACCGGUCGCCGACAAGCCAUACCAACAGCCUUCACAACCAGCAACCACCUUCACAACCAGCAACAGGCUUCACAACCAGCAACAAUCCUGGAAACCAAGCCCAAUUCCACCCACAACAAUACAGUCU